rnacentral:tRNA from 2 species
GGAGAGGUGUCCGAGCGGUCGAAGGAGCGCGCCUGGAAAGCGCGUGUGCGGUAACCCCGUACCGAGGGUUCGAAUCCCUCCCUCUCCGCCA